UGUUUGAUGUUCUAACGUUGGCCCGUAAUCCGGGUUGCGGACAGUGUCUGGUGGGUAGUUUGACUGGGGCGGUCUCCUCCUAAAGAGUAACGGAGGAGCACGAAGGUUGGCUAAUCCUGGUCGGACAUCAGGAGGUUAGUGCAAUGGCAUAAGCCAGCUUGACUGCGAGCGUGACGGCGCGAGCAGGUGCGAAAGCAGGUCAUAGUGAUCCGGUGGUUCUGAAUGGAAGGGCCAUCGCUCAACGGAUAAAAGGUACUCCGGGGAUAACAGGCUGAUACCGCCCAAGAGUUCAUAUCGACGGCGGUGUUUGGCACCUCGAUGUCGGCUCAUCACAUCCUGGGGCUGAAGUAGGUCCCAAGGGUAUGGCUGUUCGCCAUUUAAAGUGGUACGCGAGCUGGGUUUAGAACGUCGUGAGACAGUUCGGUCCCUAUCUGCCGUGGGCGCUGGAGAACUGAGGGGGGCUGCUCCUAGUACGAGAGGACCGGAGUGGACGCAUCACUGGUGUUCGGGUUGUCAUGCCAAUGGCACUGCCCGGUAGCUAAAUGCGGAAGAGAUAAGUGCUGAAAGCAUCUAAGCACGAAACUUGCCCCGAGAUGAGUUCUCCCUGAGACUUAGAGUCUCCUGAAGGAACGUUGAAGACGACGACGUUGAUAGGCCGGGUGUGUAAGCGCAGCGAUGCGUUGAGCUAACCGGUACUAAUGAACCGUGAGGCUUAACCUUACAA
rnacentral:rRNA from 1 species